CGUAGGUGGCAAGCGUUGUCCGGGAAUUAUUGGGCGUAAAGCGCGCGCAGGCGGCUUCUUAAGUCCAUCUUAAAAAGUGCGGGGCUUAACCCCGUGAUGGGAUGGAAACUGAGAGGCUGGAGUAUCGGAGAGGAAAGUGGAAUUCCUAGUGUAGCGGUGAAAUGCGUAGAGAUUAGGAAGAACACCGGUGGCGAAAGGCGACUUUCUGGACGACAACUGACGCUGAGGCGCGAAAGCGUGGGGAGCAA
rnacentral:rRNA from 1 species